rnacentral:rRNA from 1 species
CUGCUGCCUCCCGUAGGAGUUUGGGCCGUGUCUCAGUCCCAAUGUGGCCGUCCACCCUCUCAGGCCGGCUACUGAUCGUCGCCUUGGUGGGCCUUUACCCCGCCAACCAGCUAAUCAGACGCGGGUCCAUCUUGCACCACCGGAGUUUUUCACACUGUCCCAUGCGGGACCGUGCGCUUAUGCGGUAUUAGCACCUAUUUCUAAGUGUUAUCCCCCAGUGCAAGGCAGGUUACCCACGCGUUACUCACCCGUCCGCCACUAAG